UACGUAGGGCGCAAGCGUUGUCCGGAAUUAUUGGGCGUAAAGAGCUCGUAGGCGGUCUGUCGCGUCGGCUGUGAAAUCCCGGAGCUCAACUCCGGGUCUGCAGUCGAUACGGGCAAACUGGAGUACUGCAGGGGAGACUGGAAUUCCUGGUGUAGCGGUGAAAUGCGCAGAUAUCAGGAGGAACACCGGUGGCGAAGGCGGGUCUCUGGGCCGAUACUGACACUGAGGAGCGAAAGCGUGGGGAGCGAACAGG
rnacentral:rRNA from 1 species